CUUAACCAAACAUUUUUCUCUGUUGCUGCAGGUUCUGGACCACUUGCAGGAAUCAUUAGUGCUGUAGGUGUCGCUCUGGUGGGAGCCGCGUCCAGUUACUUUGCUUAUCAGAAGAAGAAGCUCUGCUUCAAGCUGCAGGGAGGUGCAGAUCCAGAGAAAGGUCACCAAGGAGGUCAGUCUAAUCCAGGAGACAACCAGAUUUUUAGCAACCUGCUCCGGAACAACUAGAUCCUGAACCAGAACUUGAUCCGACUUUUCAGCCAACAGCCUCAAGACGUCUUUGGUACAGAAAAGAGCCACAAGUUCCACCAACACAUCCAGAACAAAAUGACAGCCAGCUUAUCUUACUCUGAGCUUCAGCAACAGUCAGAAUAUAAUUUUUUGUUGAUGUGUUUUUGACUUUAUGUUACUCUUGUAAACUUCAUUUUUGUCUUUUUCAUGUUUGUAAACCUGUUGGUUUCAUGUAAUGAGUCACUGCAGGAAAUCUGUUUGCUCCAGUAUCUUCCAUAAAAACCUUGUACCCAUCAGGAAAGGACGCUUGUGGCGUUGGCUUCUGUUUACUGUGGAGUAUCUAAUCUCACCUCCCAAAUAAUUCAAAGAUGAGGAAAACAGAAGUAAUCUCAGCCACUGUCCUGGUCAGCCCACAAUGAGUCAGAAUCUUCUAGUUGGCCACUGAGAGAUGUUUUUAGUUUUAUAAGACACUGGUCAUAAGUGUUUUAUGUAGCUGUUUUAUGUUUUAUCAGCAUGGCUCCUUCAGCCAUGCUGAUGGCUGAAGGAGCUUUAAUGUAAACUGAUUGUCGUGUAACCAAGGGCUAAUUGAAAGUGCAAAUAGUAAAUGUACAGAAUUGAAUUUUGUAUUUGUGAGGGACCUUUAGAAAAACACAGAAAGCUGCAACAGAGCUUUGUACUGUUUUACGGAAGCACUUAGCUGCUAAAGCUGGAAUAUAAAUAAAGCUGCAGUAUCUCCUUAAAACAAGAAACUUUCUGGUUAUAAUGAGAAAUAAGUCUUAUUCCUCAAAGUGUUUCAUUGUUGCGACCUUGUAUCUAAAUGGCAAGAAACUUUCUUGUUAUGAUGAGCUGCUUUAUUUCCUAGCUGUAGAAGUUAAUUAUUUCUGAACUGUUUGAAAUUACUAGCCCUAGUUCUAAUGCUGCACUCUGUUUAGCUUAGUUUUUCUUUUCUAAACCGUUUACACUGUUUUCCUGAUGGAUUUUCACACACCAAACUAGACCUGUAGAGUAGCUGCUUGGUUAAGCUGACUAACUAGCUGCUAACAUGUUAAUAGCCAGACUAACUAGCAGCCAGUUAGCUAGUCGCUAACAUCUUUGCUGCACCAAAGACAUAAUGCUAAAGGCCAUUUUUAAAGGAUUGUUUUCUUGUUUUUUAGUUGAAAAAUUAAGUACUGAUACCUAAAAAAUUAUGUUUUUUAUCUCAGAGUUGGAUAUCUGUUUAUUAUGCCUUUGAUAUACAAUAUAAAUGCUUUAGCUUAGUCCUUUUUGGUUCUGCUGAUUCAUAUAAAACAUCACCGCGCGCUGAGGUUCCACUUCUUUGUUGAAUCUUAUCUCUUCUCUUUUCAUUGAGCGGUUGCUGCUGUCUGUGUUUGGCGCCUUUUAAUUUGAUAGACAAGGACGUGUUGUUGCAGGAACGUCUGAAUGAUGAAAUACAAAAACAAGCUGCAUUUCUAUGUGCUGUAAAUAAUCCACUCCUUUAGAUUUGAGUUCUAUGACUUGUUCUGUCAGCUUCUACCAUCAGUUUGAAGUGUGUUUUGUUAUUUUAAGCAUAUGUCUGUUUUAGCUACAUCGACAUUGUGCAGGUCUGUUACUGGAAUACUAAAUGCAUGAUUUGUCAUAGGAUUUUUGGUGUGUACAUGAUUUUAAUAAAGUGUUAUUGUACACUA